UACGUAGGGGGCAAGCGUUAUCCGGAAUCAUUGGGCGUAAAGCGCGUGUAGGCGGUUCCGUAAGUCCGCUCUGAAAGCCCAGGGCUCAACCCUGGGAGGCGGGUGGAUACUACGGAACUGGAGUACGGAAGAGGAGAUUGGAAUUCCUGGUGUAGCGGUGAAAUGCGCAGAUAUCAGGAGAACACCAACAGCGAAGGCAGAUCUCUGGGACGUUACUGACGCUGAGACGCGAAAGCGUGGGGAGCAAACAGG
rnacentral:rRNA from 1 species